ensembl:lncRNA
GGCGGACCCAGUAAGUCAGAUAAGAACACUCAACUUUCUUUGGCCUAAACCCACAAUUACACAAAAUACACACACUGUAUACACAAUUGGUUAGGUUCCCAGAAAGCAGGAGUGGAAACAUCUGGAACAUGUUGUUGUUCUUAGCCAUAGAAGGGCAUGAGGAAGGAGAGGAGAAUUCUUCUGGAAUUCUUCUGACGUCAUAAUGACUAUAAAAGCUUUCUGUCUUUGUGCAGACGAAGAAGAAGUCCGGCUCUUCCCACACUGUAUGGCACUGUGUGUUUUUUAAUAAAAUACUUUAUUGACUCACUAUGGACUUUUUCAGUCGUGUGUCUCUUCCUCAAAUUCGAACCAUGACAAAGAAGAAGCACGGGAGCCGGAACCCGGUUCUGGCCCGGGGCAUCGGUCGCUACUGCUGGUCUGCUCGCAGGGCUAUAUAUAAGAAAAAGACCAAGACCACUGAGACCAAGAGGCAGACCUGUGGUGCCAUACAAUUUUUUUAAUAUUGAUCAAAGACAUGCCACUUUUUCUUUGUCACUUUUUUAGAUGAUAAUUUUUUUUGCUCCAGGUGGAGGAUAAGAGUAAGGCUAGACCUAAGGCAAGUCAUCAAGACUGUUGGAGGAGACAGCAGCUCAGCAGUGGACAUGAUGGUGAUCUGGAAGAUGACAAAACAAAGCAGGUCAAUGGGUCAACCAUUACAGCGAAGACUAAUGGGUAACAGCACCAGAAACGUCAGAAUCCUUCAGGUGGCUUAGUUGGUGGCUUGCAGCGAUUGACAGGUGGCCUGCUGGAGCGUGGAUUCAUUGGUGGCUGGCAGCAAUUGAGAUGGAGACCCUUGGGAUAUCCUUGGCAGGUGGAAUCCACUCCGGCGUUGUGGCAGGCAGUGGCAUGGAGACCAUGGCAGAAAGCGCCUGGACAACAGCGCCGUAAAAUAAAAAGGCUCUGAAUUUGGACACCCCGCUGUUUACGGAUGGACAAUAAUAACGGUGGGUCUAGGGGUCAACCAUUACAGCGAAGACCCAUGGACGACAGGACCAGAGGUCAACGACGGGGCGAAGGCGGGACCUUUCAAGUGGCUUGGAUUGUGGCAAUUAGCAGGCGGCCAGCGGUGGCGUGGCUUGGCAGGUGGUCUGCUGCAGUGUGGAUUAGCUGGUGGCUGGCACCCUUUGGAGGAUUGGCAGGUGGACUCCACGGUGGUGUCCGCGGCAGGUGGCGGCGUGGAAUCCGGGGCAGGUGUCGUGGAGUCCGUGGCAGGCAGCGGAGAGGGACCAACUGAUUUGGAGUGGAGUCCACUGCAGGUGACUCUGACAAGUUAGGAAAAUAUAACAUUUGAAUACAGAGUCAGAAAAUAAUAGGGCUUUGGAGUUGACGUCACGCCGCAAUGCAUUAUGGGAGCGCAGCGCCAUUUUCGGGGUCUACGAAUCAAAAAAACACACUGUGUUGGAACGAAGACUACAAGAAAGAUGCUUAAAAGCAGCUCAAAAGAGAAUGAACUGUAUAGAGACCGAUUGCGUCCAGAGGCGAAGCAGCGGUACUUACAGAAAAUAGCGUGCAUUGGAAAUGUGGACCCGUAUGAAAUACGGCCGUGGAGUAGAAACCCUGAAGACCAACCGCUACUGAUGUAGCCUGACAUAUUUUCGUACCUUGUCUGUGGAGUCAGAGCGUACAAGUCGUCAUUCAAACAAAGGUACUGCACUCUCAAAGACUGAAUGAACCAGCAUUGCAGCCAUGGGUCACUGUGAGCAUCACAGGGAAGGUUGAAGCAGCCCACUGCAGCUGUAUGGCCGGAGUCGCAGAGACCUGCAGCCAUGUCGCUGCUCUUCUGUUUAAUGUAGAAGCAACAGUGUUGAUCCGUGGCACAAGGACUGUUACAGAUGAACCUGCAAACUGGGUUUUGCUGGGUAAUGUGACCAAGAUACAGCCAGAGAUUGGCCAUAAGAUAGACUUCUCCUCUUCAGCUGCCUAAAAAAAGGCUCUUGAUCAAAACAUAAACAGACCAUCCGUAGUGACAGGUAAAAGAAGCCGUCCUCAAAAAAGGAAAAUUCCACCUGCUACUGUGGAGGAGUCUAGAUGUAUGCCUGUAGUGCACUGCCGUGUAAAUAAUUUGCAUUUACUGAAUAUGUACUGACUGAGUACCACUGUUCAAAAGUUGAAUAAAGAAACAAACUAAUUUUUGCCUCUUUUUUAUUUUUUUUAUUAAAACCACCUUAUAGAGCAUCACAUCAGUAACAGUGUAGAAUCCAUGUCAUUUAUAGUUUACAAAUGACAAAAUGUUUACACAAAAUCAUGAGUGUUUACAUGAUAUCACCCACUACUAACAUUACUUUAUUUACUGUAUCUUUUGAAAAAAUACAGCAAUUUUAACAGCACAAUACUUAAGAAUAUUUAACAGGAGCAGGUUUCAUUUUCCCUGGUUUUAUUAUCACACUGUUCACCAAACGCAGCAAACCUUCACCAUCUUAUCCAGGAGGGUCACCUCUUCACCCUCACAUGGAAGAAGUAAUCUGAUUGGCAUGGUGGUAUGUUUGAAGCAGGUCCCUUGUGUAGUGCUGGAACCCAGUCACGAUGUUUCAUCCAUUUCAUUGGCUGGUUUGCUGCAAUAAUGCCAAAUAAUUAGCAACUCUAUAAAUAGAAGGUAGUCCUGCAAAAUCACUCAGUAGG